rnacentral:tRNA from 1 species
AUCCCUGUGGCUCAGUUGGUAGAGCAUGGUGUGUGCAACGCCAGGGUUGUGGGUUCGUUUCCCACGGGGGGCC